rnacentral:tRNA from 1 species
CUUAAUGUGGCAGAUAAGUGCAAUGAAUUUAAGCUUCAUUUAUAAAGAUUUAAUCUUUCAUUAAGA